rnacentral:rRNA from 1 species
GAUGAACGCUGGCGGCGUGCCUAAUACAUGCAAGUCGAGCGAACAGACGAGGAGUUUGCUCUUCUUUCGUUAGCGUCGGAUGGGUGAGUAACACGUGGCUAACCUACCUUUAAGACUGGGAUAACUUCUGGAAAUCGGAGCUAAUACCGGAUAAUAUAUUGAACCGCAUGGUUCAAUAGUGAAAGACGGUUUUGCUGUUACUUAUAGAUGGGUCCGGGGCGCAUUAGCUAGUUGGUAAGGUAACGGAUUACCAAGGCGGCGAUGGGUAGGCGGCCUGAGAGGGGGGACGGGAAAACUGGGAAGGAGAGAAGGCACAGAAUACUAAGGGAGGUAGGAGUGGGGAAGAAGGCAAAAUGGGCGGAAGCAUGAUGCAGCGAGGACGCGGGGGGGAUGACGGCCUUCGGGUGGUAAAUUCCGUGAGACCGCGAGGAAGCCACCUGGUUGGAAGGGUGGUGACGGUAGUGGUAGAAGAAGAACCGGCUAACUACGUG